rnacentral:rRNA from 1 species
GUGGGGAAUCUUAGACAAUGGGGGAAACCCUGAUCUAGCCAUGCCGCGUGAGCGAUGAAGGCCUUAGGGUUGUAAUGCUCUUUCAGCUGGGAAGAUAAUGACGGUACCAGCAGAAGAAGCCCCGGCUAACUCCGUGCCAGCAGCCGCGGUAAUACGGAGGGGGCUAGCGUUGUUCGGAAUUACUGGGCGUAAAGCGCACGUAGGCGGAUCAGAAAGUCAGAGGUGAAAUCCCAGGGCUCAACCUUGGAACUGCCUUUGAAACUCCUGGUCUUGAGGUCGAGAGAGGUGAGUGGAAUUCCGAGUGUAGAGGUGAAAUUCGUAGAUAUUCGGAGGAACACCAGUGGCGAAGGCGGCUCACUGGCUCGAUACUGACGCUGAGGUGCGAAAGCGUGGGGAGCAAACAGGAUUAGAUACCCUAGUAGUCC